rnacentral:lncRNA from 1 species
AAACCAUCUCGACGAUUAGGUCAACUCUUAACUUAAUCGGGUCAAACCCAACUGAAUCCAAUUCAAUUGGACUUGAUCCAAAAAUAAUUACUCAAUCAAAUUGAGUUAAUUAGCAAUCAAAUCACUAAUAAAAUCUCUCAUAAUUAUUGAGUCCAAAUUCGAUGGACAAUCGGGUAUCAAAGUCCAUCAAUAUGAAACCUUGAUCGAAGAGUUCAAAUUUCAAAUUCAAAAUUUGAAAUUCAAAAUUUUGACCCCGGUACCCAAAAUGUGUGAAACUCAUGAUCAGAGAAUCCUAAUUCUCAAUCAUAGAGUCUCAAACACAUAAGACUCAUAAUCAGCCAUCAGAUCAGAAAGGAACC